AACACCCUCUAAAGCAUAUUUAUGCGGGAUGAGUUUUGGAGCUUAGGGUUUGCAGAACCAAUGGAAGCUUCGGCAACUACUACAGGGUCGCCCUCAAGACGAUCCAUUCUCCGAUACUUCUACUGCGACUGCCUCAGGCGCUCUUGCCGCUGUUUCUGUUGCUGCUAUUUCUGAUCUCCUGCUUCCGAUUAAAUCAGGUAUAGGCCUUGGUUUCGUACGGGUUUGAUCCACUCCCAGUUCAUUCUCUCUCACAGGGACUUCCGGCGGCUGUUGAUGGAACAGAAUUCGAAGCAUCACCAGGACGCCCGCGAGAGCGGUGUUGAGGAGUUUGGAAUUCUCGGGAAGUCUACGUGCGUGAACAGGCGUAGCGACGGCGAGUACUCGUCAGCGGCUUCUUCACCCUCGGAACGGGUUGUGGUCGAGCCGAAGUGCCUCGAUGCCCAGUGGAGCGCGAUUAGGGCUUGGGGGAAUCAACCACUUUGUGUGACGGACACUGAUGCUUGCGGGAUCAUGGGAAAGGAGAAGCAGAGGCAAUUCAAAGUGAUUGAAUUGAUGAUUUUGCUAUAUAGCCUUGAAACAAGUGCUACAACUGAGUACAAGCCUAUAUGCAACAGAUGAAGAAAAAUUCACAGGCUCUAGAAUCUGCUUUAUAUUGCAGACUAGUAACAGGAGGCACUGACAACCAUUAUGGCCUAUAGGCAACAGAUGAUGACAAAUUCUCAGGCUCUAGAAUCUGCCUUAUAUUGCAGACUGGUAACAGGAGGCACUGACAACCAUUUGUUACUUUGGGAUUGGUGGAAUCUUGGACUAACAGCUUUUCAUUGUGAUGCCCAUUAGGUACUCUUGCAGUACCAUUAAAAGGUGGUUGAGAGGCAGCUGCACAGGUUACAAGUACAGUCCAGUUGGAACAUGGGAAGUUGCAGGAAGCUUUCCUGAAGGGUCUUCAGAAUAAAAAAGUUAUUGUUGGACUUCGGAAAAGAGUGAGGAUUUUGUGAGCCAAUUAGCUAUGCGGGGGGUUUGUUGUGUAAAAAAUUUGGACAUGUAAUGUAAUGCAUGUGGUGUCUUCAUGCUCCUCGGGUCUGACAUCUUCUGCCAACCACAAGUGCUGGCAAAUUUUGGUUUCUUUUAUUUGCACUUCAUUUGGCUUUGGUAGGAUGUGUGCAAUACUCAAACUACACUUGCAUCCAAGUGGUGAGAAUUUGCAAGCAUACUGUAAUGUCAUUAUGCACUGCUUGCUGCUGGUUCACUAAAA